GACAGAGGGUGCAAACGUUGUUCGGAAUUACUGGGCGUAAAGCGCGUGUAGGCUGCUCGGAAAGUCGGAUGUGAAGGCCCUGGGCUCAACCCAGGAAGUGCAUUCGAAACUCCCGAGCUGGAGUCCCGGAGAGGAAGGCGGAAUUCUCGGUGUAGAGGUGAAAUUCGUAGAUAUCGAGAGGAACAUCGGUGGCGAAGGCGGCCUUCUGGACGGUGACUGACGCUGAGACGCGAAAGCGUGGGGAGCAAACAGG
rnacentral:rRNA from 1 species